GCUGCGUGCGCUGCCGCGCUCCGCUGGGUCCCGCUGUGCCCCGCCCAGCACCGAGCAGGGACCCAACUGAAACGCAGCGAAGCUCUGCUCCGAGCUCGGCGGGACCCCCUUCCAUGCCUCCCUGCUUCGGGCAGUUUUUUGGGACGCCCGUGCAUCUGCCAGGACCUGCUCACCUAAGGCGUUCUUCCCGUCUGUCACGUGAUGGUGUGGGACUGUGUGGAAUGUCAGGGAACGGCGGGGGUGGUGUGGCUGGGAAAGAGCUCUCUUCUCUGAAGGAUAACCCCGUGUUGCCAACCUAUUUCAACACAAAUCCAGACGUUUGAGCAAGCUAAUGUAGAAAACUCUUUUGUCUUAAUUUACACUUCAUAGCGAAUAUUUCACUAGGAGAAAGAACGUUCACGUUCCACCACUUCGACCCCUGUAAAAGUAUGAAAAUCAGAAGGCAAGAAAAUUUUCAUUUCUCUCAGCCAGUCAUCUGUGUUCAGCUGUCUAUUCAGCUAUCUUGAAAAAAGAAAAAAUACCAAACAAAUAAAAACAAUCCAAAGAGCAGAAGACAGCCCCACCAGGUGCACAAAUUGUGAGCAAAGACCCGUAUUUAUUACUGUGAUCUCUGACUCUUACAUCCCUUGUAGACUAUAUGUUUGCUUGUUAAAUUUCUAUUAUUUAUUGUGGUUUGUAAACUUUAGAGACUCUGUAAUUCUUAUAGAUUACAGGCAGUUUUAAUCUCUUUGUUUUCAUCUACCUGCUAAUGCCAUGGUCGGUACUCUUGGAUGAGUCCAUUUCAUAGACACACAGCCCGAAACAGGCUGAACUGCAUCCUCCAAAGUACUUUGAUUUUGGCCCAAUUCCUCGUCAAGCUGACACAAAACAAGCAUUCCCUUUUCCCCUAGGCACAUCUAGUAGCAAAUGAAGACAAUUUUUUUUCUAUUCUUUACUUGUUUUUUUGGGUUUUUUUUUAAGAACUCUUGGCUUUCCUGCCUUGCUCUGAUUCCAUAGCCGUGUACUGAAAAGAUCUUGUCAGUGAUUCUGGAAAAGGUUUUGCCACCUGGUUAGCAGGGAAAGAAAGAAGAGAAACUUCCAGCUUCAGGAGACAGGAAAUGAAGACAUGAGGUUUGGUGUCCUUGUCCAGCUUUCCAUUAUGAAUUUAUGACCGUUGUCUAUAUUUUCCUUUAUAAUCUGACUGCCUGAAGAACCAGUUAGUAAAUUGUGUGUUCCUGAUAUAUUACUAUUCCAUUUGCCAACAGAAGUAAAAAGAGUGCCAAAGAAUCCACAAUUGUGUAGAUAUAAAUUAUUCUGCAGGGAUCUGUCUUUUUCUAAGGGUGUGAAGUCUCCAGGAAGAGGAGAUCCAAUUAUUACAGUCGGACUUACCGAAAGCAUUCUAGAAAUAGAAUAUGCUAUGCGAAAUACCUAUGUUUUUCUCCUGUAGAACUUCAUGAGUAUUUGCUUUACUUUCUGUGACUAUACUUUUGGAAAGAUUACAAUAUACACUGCUCUUUCAUGUACAGGAAUUUCUGUGUGACCUCAUGAAAAAAAAAAGCAGACAGCUGAUCUCUAGAGAAAAUAAUUAAAUGGUUACUUUUUCCUUUAAAUAGGAUCUGUCUGGAAGCUGAAGGAGAAUGUAUCCCAUCUGAUCCACAACUCAGGGAUGUAAAGUUGUGAAGUGUGGUGGUAUGUUCCACAAAUUCAUGGAAUUACUUAGGCCACACUGUACUGCAAUUAUGCUGUGUUCUGAUGUUUUCAAGUGAAAGUAAAUAUAAGGAAAAGCAGAACAAAAAUUCACUCAACUGAAUUGUGUGUUAUAACACUCACUGUUUCACACUCUGGAAAGAAAUCAUACAUUUUGACUGUGUUGAAUGUUUCAUUCCAUGAGAGCUCUUGUUGACAUACGGUAAGAUAUGAAACACGUUAAUUGAACAAA